GCAAAUCUAGUACUAGUAUUCUUAUAUGUAAUCAUAUACCGCGCAUAUAUAUAUAUAUAUAUAUAUAUAUUUAUAUAUAUAUAUAUAUUUAUAUAUAUAUAUAUAUUUAUAUAUAUAUAUAUUUUCGGUAGUAUCAGUUUAUGGGUUAAAAUAAUUUGGCAUCAUUUGAGCAUUAAAUUAAAGAUUAAUUAUCCGAAUCAAUUAUUUCAAGCUCGGGUUCUACUAGUAUUAUUCGGAGGUUUCGCGGACAGAUAUUCUAGCUUUGGCGUCCAGAUCCAGGUACUAGCAGUCGGCGUUGACAUGGUUCUUACCUUUCAGUGCUGGUUUAUAGCAGGGUAAUCUUAAUGUCGUCCGAGGCUGAUCCCCCUGUAUCUACCCUAGUUAGUCUUUUUCACUCGAGAUUACUUGUGUACAUUUUAGAUUUUUGUCUAGUACUCUGGGUACCUGUUAGUAGUGGCUCUAGUACUGACCUUAUCAGGUCUUGGGAGGGAUUCAUUUGUAUAGCUGGUCCUUUUUCCUCCUCUCAUUUUGAUAUAAUACAUAUGCUUUCUUAUUAGUUUUCACC